rnacentral:rRNA from 1 species
UGCCAGCAGCCGCGGUAAUACGGAGGGUGCAAGCGUUGUUCGGAAUUACUGGGCGUAAAGCGUGCGCAGGCGGCUUCAUAAGUCAGACGUGAAAGCCCGGGGCUCAACCCCGGGAGGUCGUUUGAUACUGUGGAGCUUGAGUACGGGAGAGGGGUGUGGAAUUCCCAGUGUAGAAGUGAAAUUCGUAGAUAUUGGGAGGAACACCAGUGGCGAAGGCGACACCCUGGCCCGAGACUGACGCUCAGGCACGAAAGCGUGGGGAGCAAACAGGAUUAGAUA